GUGUGUGUGUGUGUGUGUGUUUUAUAUGCUUGAUUGUUCGAUUACUUUAUUAUUAUUGUAUUUAUUUGUUUAUUUAUUUUUAAUUUUUUAUCUAUUUUUUUGUUUGUUUACUAAAGUCUGCCCACUAUAUUUUGCUUCCAAAGGUUACUCAUAGUUGUGUAUAUAAAAAAAAAAAGCGUCAGUAGUAUUGGUAGUUGUUUUAGUGUGAAGGUUGUUAGUAAAAGUAAAAGUAGAAUUGAUAAGAGUAGGGUUAGUAUUUGUUGAAGUAUUUUUAGGGUACGUGAUAGUAUAUGGAAAUGUCAGUAGUAGUAUCAAGAAGUAUUUAUAAGUAGUAGUAUAAGUAGUAUAGAUGUUAUCGCAUGUUUGAAGAUUAACUUUAAUUUUCACACCUCCUCUGCCUCCUUUUCACUUUUCCUUCCCUUUUUUCCUUCCCUAUUCUCCCCUUCUCAUUUUUCAUCUCUUGUUUUUUCUUUCUUCUCUUAACCUUCUUUCCUUUUCGCUUUUCCUUACCUCUUCCAUACUAACUGGUUUCCUUCUUGUCACUUUUCCUUCUUUCUUUCCAUUUCCUCAUUCCCUCUUUCCCCUUCUUCCCUUCUUCUCAUUUUCCUCCAUGUCUAUCCUCUUGUCAUCUUCUCUUCCUCUCUUAUCUUUUUCCCUUGUCACCUUCCUACCUCUCAUCUUGUCUCCUUUUUCUUUCCCUUUUCUUCUCACCUUCCUUCUCUCCUUUUCUCUUCUUCCCUUCUCACCAUCUUCCUUUCCUCGCUACUUCCUUCCUUUCCUCCCUCUAUACAGCGGGGGCACGCACUACUACUACUGCUGUUGGUGGCCGCGUCGGUGUUGAGGCCAGCAAGCCCCCGGCCGUUCUUCUUCGACAAAUACAUCUUCAAGGGAAAGAGCUUCGGAUUCGGCCACCCCUAUCCUGUCUACGUCCCUGUUCACGUGCCUAUCCACCACAAGCACGUCGUCCACUACGUUCACCACGGCAAGGGCACCAGCAGCUACUCCGAAGGGCACAGUAGUGGAGGAUAUGGUGGAGGAGGGUUUAGUGGAGGCGGUGGAUACGGCGGCGGCGGCGGCGGGGGAUACGGCGGCGGCGGAGGGGGAUACGGCGGCGGCGGCGGUGGUGGAUAUGGCGGGAUCAGCUUCGGAGGUACUGGAUUUGGCGGUGGGCAUGGAGGUGGUGGUCUGUAUGGUGGUGGUUAUGGAGGUCACAAAUAAAACAAAGAAAAAAUGCAGGAUUAUAAACAGAGGAAACUACGUUCCCAUAGACUCCGAGAGGCCGUGGAGUUUAUAGUUCCGUUGUUGCAGGUUACAAAUAAAAAAAUAUAGAAUAAGUGCAACAAAACAAAUGCCCUUAUUCUUGGCCGCUUCUCACUGUCAUGACAAAUACUUCCAAAGGUCAUAAAGAAGAUUUGUCGGGUCCUCAUGAGUGUGUAUCACGUUCAUGGUCCAGAAGCCUUGCCAAACUAUCACUAUGCUCAUGAAACUAUGCAUGGAAAUACUAACAACCUCUACCUAAGUCUUAUCAAAUCUUGGUGUGUAAGCCCCGAGUUUUUUUUUUAAUAUGGGCCACAAUGUACAUUCUUUCCUUUCCUCUUUCCCUUUCCUCUUCGAUACUAACUGGCUUCCUUCUUGUCAUUUUUCCUUCUUUCUUUCCUUUUCUUCAUUCCCUCUUUCCCCUCCUUCCCUUCUUCUCAUUUUCCUCCAUGUCUAUCUUCUUGUCACAUUCUCUUCCUUUCUCCUCUCCUACCAUUCUCUUAGUUAUUGUUAUAGUUGUUAGUGUGAGAUUGUAUAUACAUUGUUAAUACUGUGUCAUACAUGGGUUACCUGUCUAUUGCAUUAUAUUACUGUUAAGUACAACCGUUGUAAAAUACGUAGUUAUCUUCUGUUUGUUAAAGUUAACACCAGUGUUAGUUUGUUAGUUAGUUUGUUUGUUAGUUAGUUUGUUAUUCACUUAGUUAUUUGAUUAGUUAGUUUGUGUGUGUUUGUGUGUGUUAAUCUGCUGUUUGUUUAAGUUUGUAUCUGUGGAGUUAGUUAGUUAGUUAGUUAGUUAGUUAGUUGGUUAAUUAGAUAAGUGUGUGUGUGUGUGUGUGUGUGUGUGUGUCUCAUAUAACCGCUGCAUUUUGAUCACUGUUACCUGGUCAAAUAAAGGUGCCGUAUUUUU